rnacentral:rRNA from 1 species
GAUGAACGCUGGCGGCGUGCCUAAUACAUGCCAGUCGAGCGAACGGACGAGAAGCUUGCUUCUCUGAUGUUAGCGGCGGACGGGUGAGUAACACGUGGAUAACCUACCUAUAAGACUGGGAUAACUUCGGGAAACCGGAGCUAAUACCGGAUGAUAUCUUGAACCGCAUGGUUCAAAAGUGAAAGACGGUCUUGCUGUCACUUAUAGAUGGAUCCGCGCUGCAUUAGCUAGUUGGUAAGGUAACGGCUUACCAAGGCAACGAUGCAUAGCCGACCUGAGAGGGUGAUCGGCCACACUGGAACUGAGACACGGUCCAGACUCCUACGGGAGGCAGCAGUAGGGAAUCUUCCGCAAUGGGCGAAAGCCUGACGGAGCAACGCCGCGUGAGUGAUGAAGGUCUUCGGAUCGUAAAACUCUGUUAUUAGGGAAGAACAUAUGUGUAGGUAACUGUGCACAUCUUGACGGUACCUAAUCAGAAAGCCACGGCUAACUACGUG